AACUUGAAGAAGUAAAAACUUCAGCCUUGGACAAAAACACUAGCAGAACUAUUUAUGAUCCUGUACAUGCAGCUCCAACCACUUCUACGCGUGUGUUUUAUAUUAGUGUAGGGGUUUGUUGUGCAGUAAUAUUUCUUGUAGCAAUAAUAUUAGCUGUUUUGCACCUUCAUAGUAUGAAAAGGAUUGAACUGGAUGACAGGUAUUGUACAUAUUUUGGGAAAGAAAAAAAUGAAAGCAGUUAUUUGUAUAUAUGUGGGAGCCCAUACACAUCGGUGCGCAGUGGUGCAGGGGAAGGAGGGAGGAUGACUAAGCCCCAGCCAAAGGAAAAAUAAGAUGACCUAAUCACUGUCUCUGGUUUCUCUGAUUUUAUUUUUAUUUUUUAAAAAUUAAG
rnacentral:sRNA from 1 species